rnacentral:rRNA from 1 species
ACUCAAAUGAAUAGACGGGGGCCCGCACAAGCGGUGGAGUAUGUGGUUUAAUUCGACGCAACGCGAAGAACCUUACCUGGGCUCGAAGGCUAGAUGGUAUUGAACCGAAAGGGGAUAGAUCCCGCAAGGGAAGUCUAGUCAGGUGCUGCAUGGCUGUCGUCAGCUCGUGUCGUGAGAUGUUGGGUUAAGUCCCGCAACGAGCGCAACCCUUGUCUUUAGUUGCUAGCAGUUCGGCUGAGCACUCUAAAGAGACUGCCGACGUCAAGUCGGAGGAAGGUGGGGAUGACGUCAAGUCCUCAUGGCCCUUACGUCCAGGGCUACACACGUACUACAAUGGUCGGUACAAAGCGCAGCCAACCCGCGAGGGGGAGCCAAUCGCACAAAGCCGACCUCAGUACAGAUUGCAGUCUGCAACUCGACUGCAUGAAGUCGGAAUCGCUAGUAAUCGUCAAUCAGCAGGUGACGGUGAAUACGUUCCCGGGCCUUGUACACACCGCCCGU